CCUGAAGCCUUUUUGAAUUUUUCUUUCAUAGAGUUGGUGGCGGUCCAGGUGGAUUCAUCAUCGACUCCUCAAACUGAAAAUCAAACGGUGUCUUGUAAAGGGGAGGGCUGUGGGAACCAUUCGACAUGCGAAUACAUCGGCCCAGGGAACUACAACUGUACCUGCAUCCAGGGUUUCUAUGGUGACAACUGUGAAGGAGAGUGUCUGUGCCAGAAUGGAGGGGUCUGUGUGGACGGGACCUGUGACUGCACCUCAGGCUUCACCGGAAUCUACUGUCAGUUUGAGGUGACCCAGACCCCAUGCAGUAACAACAGGCCGUGUCCUGACGGAGGACCCUGUCUGGAGUACGGAGGAACCUACCUGUGUACCUGUCAGACAGGUGUGGCAGACCUAGAUCACAAGGACUUCUAUCCUCCCUAUGGUAAG